CAAAAUACUACUUGAUUUAAGUUGAAAUUUUGGAAGUUAGUAAAUUUUUAGAUGUUGUUCAUGUUGAAUUAAUUGAUGAAUUAGAGGUUAAAAUGAUUGAAUUUUAAGUUAGAAGUUAGUAGAAGGUUGAUUUGUAAAAUAAAACAUAAGUUUUGAAUUAAUAGGGACUAAAUUGAGAGAAUUUCGAAAUUAGGGAUUUAUGAUGAAAAUGAAGAAUUAAAAUGAGUAUAUAGUGAGAAUUAAGAGAGAAUAUGGAGUUAAAUUAGGAAAAAUAAAAUUAGUAUUGAUAAGGGAUUAAAUUAGAGUUUAUGUAAAGUUUAGGUAUAAAUGGAAAUAUUUUAAUGGAAUUGUGUAUUAAUAAUUUUUAAUUGUUUAAUUACGUAGCUAAUGUCGUGCAAGAGUCAUUGUCCGAGAAAUGAAAGGAGAAGGUGGACAAGGAUUGACUCGAGAGAAAUUUCGGUUAGUAGGAAGCCAGUGCUCGGUCCAGCAUCCAGAGUAAUCCCGACCUCAGAGAAAUUUUGGUGAUGUACUUUUGUUUUGAUAAUGUGGCAUGUACCUAAGUGAUAUAUAGGUUAAGUAUAAGAGUUUUGUGAUUGUGGUUUUAGAACGAUGUUUAAAUUGGUUAUAAGUAUGAAAUGGAACUAAUAUGACAUAUUUGAUUAAA